rnacentral:rRNA from 1 species
GCCUACGGGGGGCAGCAGUAGGGAAUUUUCGUCAAUGGGCGCAAGCCUGAACGAGCAAUGCCGCGUGAACGAGGAAGGUCUUCGGAUCGUAAAGUUCUGUUGAAGGGGAAAAAGAGCGGAGAGAGGAAAUGGUCUCCGAUUGAUAUUACCCUUCGAGGAAGUCACGGCUAACUACGUGCCAGCAGCCGCGGUAAUACGUAGGUGGCGAGCGUUAUCCGGAAUGAUUGGGGGUAAAGGGUGCGUAGGCGGCGUGUUAAGUCUGGAGUGAAAGGUACGGGUUAAACGGGUACAGGCUAUGGAAAUUG